AUCACAUGACAAGCGCCCGGACUGAGGAGCAACGGCAGGCAUUUUCCUCAGUUGACGCGGUGGGGGUUGGCGAACGAUUCGGCGGAUACCCCCCGGUGUGCGGCCGCACCGAUUACAGACUUUGAAAUCUGUUGGGUGACCAACGGGACAAAAAGGCUGUAGGCUACGUA
rnacentral:ncRNA from 1 species